GAGAAGGAGCGAAGAUGGCGGAGUGAGGCGUGCCGCGGCCAGCCGGCCUCUGGCCGGGGGCGGACCGGCCCCCGGGAGGCCGAGUGCGUCUGUUGGAUCGUGCGAGGUUCCUUACCAUAGGAAGAAUAUUUUCCUUGAUGUUUAGGUGCUUUUAUAUUCAUCUCAGAAACAAAAUUCUGAACUCAGGACUUGGCAAGUGUUUCUAUGUUGUCUCCUAGAGUGGGUAGUCCUGCUUAUUUUAUACAGCCUCUUUUCCUGUUUUUGAAAUGCAGAUAUCUCUUCACUACACAUUACCUCCUUGAUUUGGAAUGCUAAAGGCCACUUUUUGUUCCACCUCUCCAAUUCAACACAGAGAAGAAGCCCCUGGGAUUGUGGUUAUCCUUCCAACUUCUCCAAGAAGAAAACAGCAGCUGACAUGGGUCUUCUGCUGCUAUUUGCUGAAUUAUAAAGACAUUUUGCAAGCUGAAAGCUGAUGUUUCAUUUGAAACAGGUGCUUAGGUGGUAGUAUUUGUGAAUUCUUUACUUUUUGUUCCAAACAAGAAGACUAAAUAAAUAGCAAGUUUGAAUGACUUAAGGGUUUUUUAAAAAAAUGUCUUCCAGUUUCAGCCACUUCAUGAUAAGCACAGUUGAGACUGCAGCAGUAAAUUUCAAAUAUGUAUUUCUAACUUGAAAUGAAAGAUGCUAAAAAGUUACAUUUAUUUAUAUAUCCAAAUUCUGGCUCAUUCUAUGACACAGAUUUACUGAAUAAGAAUAAGGUCCAAUUUUGCAAUUAAAUCUUUGAUGUGUUAAGCCAAAAUACGAAAUAUAAAAGUUAGUUUCUUAUGCAGACAAACCAUCACAGUCUCUGUACAAAUUAAGUUUUACUUAUGUAAAUCCACAUUUUUGGAUGAGAAGAGGAAUUUUUCUCCUAGAGAAAGAAGGAUUUUUCUCAGACAUCUUUGGACAUUUGGUAUUUUAAAAUGUUUUUUAAGACUUCUAAGGAUGUAUCAGUUGUGUAGUAGUUAACCCUAUGAAUGCAUGCUUGGGUUUAGUGAAAAGAAAACAGUUUUGAGUACAGUGAUGGAACCCUCUUUACCUUCCUAGGAGAAGAGACUGUACAAGUUGCUUCACUCAGUGGUAUAGGUGUUUUUCAAUUCAGGAGAUGUGGUGGAUCCAGUAGUAUGAUCUGCCUUUAAAUUUGGAUAUAGAGGAUUGAGGAGAAAAAGAAUUUUCCAUAUAACUCCUUUCUCUCAAGAAAAAGGAAAAAUUUGCAGCUCCAUCUGACUUUACGGUGUUUUAUAUUAUAUAGUUCCAUUUUUUGGUAAAAAGCAUAAAUUACUAUUUCUUUGCCCCAAGAUGGACAAUUGAAUGUUUGGUUAUUGUUCUAGAUUGGUGUAAUGUUAGGCAAAAAAGACUGGGACUCAGGUACUUUACCCAGUUGAGACUGAACUUCCUCAUUAUAGAAUGAACCUCAGAAGUAGUGUUCCCAAACUUGUGGUUGCAUCAUUGUAGAUUCAGGGUGUGGAAAAGAAACUUCAAGCGAGAAAAAUAGUUACAAUAAGAAAUAUGAAUUUUCCUUUUUUCUCUUAACAGUUAUACAAUAUGUUGAACAGACUAUUGUAGAAAGCUGUCCUUGCUUCCAAAUCAAUAGAAGACCAUUGUAUGUAUUGUCAGGUCUAUAUAUAAGAAGAGUGAACCUUUAUUUAUGAAUCUUUAUGAGUAGAGAAUGAAUUUUAAAACUUCUUAGAUUAAAUUAAGAACAGAUAAUGUUAGAACAUCUCUGUGUUUUCUGGAAUGUUUGCUCAGGGCCGUGCAUUCUGUGACGCUGGGAACGUAGGACAGAUUCACCAAAUCUGAGAUUGGUAAAAAUGUUCAAAAGUGGAUAAUGUUGUGCACUCUUAAUGAUUAGUGAUGUUGGUCAAUUUGAAUUGGGAUAAAAAAAGAUGUUUAGUAAAAUAAUUGCAUAAUGCAUACAAAAUAUAAUAUAAUUGAGGGCAAUCACAGAGUGGUAAAUCAUAGUAGAAAUAACUUUGAUCAAAGGUAACUUAAAUUUUUCUCUGUAAUCUCUCCACUUACUGAUGUUUUUCUUAUUUUGGAAUUGUUAAAGACAGAAUGGAGCUUGUAUAUGCGGGUCUCACUGGUAUGUUGAGAAUGUCAUAUCAUGGAGAAUUUGUACCUUCUACUUGUCUGUUACUCAUUUUCCCCAUGUCCUUUUGGCAACUUCUUGGGUAGGAUCAUUUGGCAGGGAAUAGGGUAUCUCCUGUCAGCACCAGUGAAACCAGCUCUGGCCUACUUGUUUGAACAGGUAUCAGACUCAUCUUUUCCCUGAUGUUUUGUAUUUUUUUCAUUUCGCAGUUCAGAGAACCAGUGUUUAAUUAUUACUUUCAAACUGUUUAUCUUCCAUGAUUGACAUCAGGUGUCAUUUAACAAAAUGGCUAUAUUCCAGUUGUAGUUGCCCAGUUUUUACUUAAUACAUCUACAUUUUUUUCUUGUCUGUUUUGGUCCCCUUUUUUGAUGACUAAAGCUCUAAUUUUAGACAGGAGCAUACCUUGGUUUGUAGCCAUGCAUCCUCCCUUUCCUUAUCCAUGUUAGCUGGUAGUUUUUCUUUCUAAAAGUUAAACAAAAACGGGAUAUGUGCAAUAGAAAUAUAUAUAUGUAUAUUUUAAUACUUGUGGACAAAUGUUACAAGUUGUUUAAGAACAACAAAAUCACCAAUGUCUUCCAUUUUGAGACGUGUAUAGUUUUGUAAGCAUUAGUGCUUGGUAGCAUAUUGUAGUCCCAUGUUAGGGGUUAGUGCAUGAGCCUAGUAAUAAUUUUAAACUUCAGGAAGAAUUAUUGAUAAUAACAAAUAGUGUAAAAAGAGUGGAAAGUCCAGGCCUUUUCUUUUUUCUGAAUCUGUAAUAUUCUCCCUGGGGAAAGGAAAUUAAGGCCCAGAAAGACUUGUGAAUAGAAAUGUGGGGUAGAAAUCCGAGAUGCUAUGUUUGUGAGGAUAUUUCAGCUUUCCAUGAGGUAGCUGGAAGCCAGCUGACUUUGUGUCUUAUGAAACCUCAAGUCAGAAUGAGACCCCAUUUCAUGAUUCUGCUUUGCUUCUCUUAGUUUGAUGUAAUCUUAUUCUUAAACUGGCUUUACAUUCAUGUCAUAGGUUCACUAUUUUUCUAUUCCUGUGUCAAGAAAUUAUUUUACACUUUGCACGUCUUACUGAGAUCUUAUGUUAAUUGCUUUAGUGAGUACUUUUCUAAUCUGCAGACCAUUUACACUUCCCUUUUGCAGCUUGCUGUGUAUAAAUAGUAAUUUGGAGUUUCCAAAUUAUUUUUACAGGCUCUUCCUACUUCCAAAUCUGCUGAAUUGUGUAUUUAUGGGAUUUCAGACUUCUUCAUGAGAAUUGGAAAUGUAGCUGGCUAGUGCCUGUUUAGGUUGCUGUAUAAUAAGUAGACUCUUCCUUAGUUAUAGUAAGCCUCAGACAACUUUCACUUUUUUCUACUUAUGAAAAUAAAAGUUUUGUUCUGAAAAGAUAGCUUUCUGUAGAAAAGAAUUCUUACCUCUAAAAGCUGCUGUGAGAACUUGGAAGUGGCAGUUUUCUGAAGUGAUUUUUAAAUCUCAGUAUUAAGAGUCCAGAAUUUGUUGACACAGAUUCUACAGUUAGUAUAAAAGGAAAUGCAGAACCAUUUUAAUGUGGUGUAUCUUGUGCAUGCACAGGUUAGACUCUGGCAGCAGAUCUCCAGGGACCCAGAUUUAGAUUCUUAUAGUGUACUUAAAGUGGUUGUACUUCUGGUUCAAGUAGUUUAGUGCCUGGGCGAAUCAAUUUCUGAAAAGUAUUUACAUUAUUGUUAAAAAAUACCUCUGAAAAGGUACUGAAUGCAAAAUAGCACAGUAUAUAGGAAAGGAUAUUUCCUGUUGCAAAAAAAAGCCAUAAAAUAAUUUCAAGAGGUAGGAUUUUAAUAGCAAUAACAGUUUUGCAUGUAUAAUAAAUUGCAUUAGCAAGGUUGUACAGUAGAAUAAGUGAUAUUAGUUAAGUUUGUGGGGCUCUGUGAUUCAAGAGUUGCACAAAAGGAAAAAAUGUUCUAGAUAAAGAGCAUAUAAAAGGUACUUUCUUUUAAAACAGCAUGAAUGUAUAUUAACUUAUCUUUGUAUGAGAAAUACCAACUUUUGUGCAUAAGUUAAAGGUUAAAGUCCUCAUUUGUUUCCUAAAUUAGAGGGUUAGAGCCGUUGAAAUGAAACCUUUCUAGUGUUUAACCUGAAAGCAAAUGUAUUCCUGUAGCCCCACUGAAACCUUCAUGUGGGUUCUUUUUAAAACCAGGCAUUUAUUUUGUAGAAUGAUAUGCUUUUAUGAUUUGUCUUAUUUUUUCCAUGGGUUUUCUGGAUACAUUUUUUUUAAAGGAAGAUAAAAUUCUGUGUGUUUAGUAUUGAAAAAACCCCCCAAGAACAUGAAUAGCUGGAUUUUCCUCAUGCUUAUGUUGGAGAGUUAGGAUUUAAAGGUAAAAAGCAAAAGGAUUGAAGGGAAUAGCCAGUGACUGUAUGUUGGGGGGGAUGUGUGUGUAUGUGUGUGUUUUAAACCUUAUCUAAUGUAGAUGUGGCCUGUGACCUGUGACUGCUUAUUUUAACAAGGAUGGCCCAGCAAACUUUCUUUCUUGAUGUGAGGAAUCACACAGCUCACAUCAGGAUAUAAUAGUGGAACUAGAGUGACUUCUAUUCCCUUUCACCUCAUGCCCAUCUUGGCCAUUUACUACCUUGAAGAUCCCUGAAAAGACUGGGUCUACAUUCCCUUGUCUUCCCAGGGAAAAAGCUAAAACAUAAGUGGUGUAGAUCUAAAUAGUGCCUCUUGCAUAUUUAAUUACAUGGCAACUAAUGGAUAGAGAAAAGACUAUAUUAAGUUGAUUAUAGCUCCUCUUUAAAUGUUCUGUGCUAUCAGUUGAUCUUUGAGACACUGAAACAACCAAGCAAUAUUUAGACAUCUGCAUGAUCAUGGGGACAGUGCUGCUUAUUACAGUGAUGUUAGCAGUUCAAUUACUUGGAACAAUUAAAGAUUACCCUUAACAGCCAUGUUAUUCUAAAUACUAAAAUAUGCUACAAGUUUUCAUUGUCAAAAGUAUGUGGUUACUUUUCAAAGUUAGUGUGAUCUCACAUUUACUCUUUAUGUACCUGUGAUAU